AAUUAUUCUUUGAUCUACAUCUUAUACAAAUAUGUGAAAUAUAUCUAUAUUAAUAUAGGAUAACUGGCCCACAUAGCCAAUGAUUUACAAAGUGUACAAAAGAUUUAGUCAUUCUAUACUUCAUUUUCUUAGUCAUUAAUGCUAUAUUUAGCAUGUUCACUAAAAUCUGCCACAUGUUGGUUGAGGGAUGCCACUUAAAUUGCCUUUAUGCUGAACUAAUGAAAAACCUUGAAGGAUUUUGGGGACAAUUCAAGUAAAUUUUCAUUAAAUGCUAGCCCAUAUUGCUGUUGCCCCAUCGCCCUAUAUCUCCUUGGUGGCGGCAUGUCACCGUGUUAAAUAUUUAUAGCCGUAGUGGAAAUGUCAAAUGUGAUGCCCUAGAUGGUGGAGGCAAGCCGUGUUGGUAGAGAGAUGGUCUUUUGAUGGUAGAGGUGUUGUAGGCAGUGGCAGUGUUUCUCUAAUCGGUGGGCUGCGUGAUAGUAAUAAUCUUGGCAUGUGGGAUGUCAUGACUAUGUGUAUCAAAAUUAAAGUUAGCUGGAAAAUCAUUGUGUUUCAUAUCUAAUAUAAAAUAAGUUAUAUCAUAAAAAUUGGGUCUCACAUCCUGUAUUGUGUUAAUGCUUUGUUUGUUUCGGUGGAAAAAAAGUCCAUAGAGUGGAGUUGUGGAAAACGUUUUUCACUUUUACGUAACAUAUUCAAUAGACUUGCACAAAUACACUGCACACCACAAAAAACUCAUUACUAACUUAUCUCUCUUCAUCCCCUUUCUCUCUACAUAGAUUGAUUGUUGACUUUUUCCAAAUGACUUUCUUUCUCCAUCCAGUCGUUUUCCCACAUAAUUUUUCAUGCAGAUUCUAAAUGUGUUUUUUUUUUUUUUUUUUUUCAUUAAGCAUCCCCAAUGGCGUAAAAAAUAGGAAAUGUUUUCCCAUUUGGAUCUACUUUUGUGAAGUAAAGUUUUUGUUCUGCAAUUGUUUGGAAUUACAAAGCAUAUUAAUGAUUUUUCUGUGCAAACCAACAAUCAAAAAAUUUUGUAUGGCCAUUUUCAAGAUUGCAAUCAAACACAGGAAAACAAGUCACUUUUCAUAAAGUGUUUCUCAGAAAACGUUUUUCGUUGGAACAAAUGAAGCAUUUAUUUUACAUUCUCUGGAUACUUUCUCUUUUGUUAUAGUUCAUGUUUGAGUUCCCAUAUCUCCUUACUCCUUAGUGAUCAUAUCUUACUGAAGUAUGUUGAAAAAUUGAAUCAUAAUGGAUUAGGUGAUCAAAUCUUAAAAAAAAAAAAAAAAAAAUUGCAAU